CCGCGUGGUCAAUAGCAUAUCAAUAAGCGGAGGAAAAGAAACCAACAGGGAUUGCCCUAGUAACGGCGAGUGAAGCGGCAACAGCUCAAAUUUGAAAUCUGGCCUCGGCCCGAGUUGUAAUUUGCAGAGGAUGCUUUUGGCGCGGUGCCUUCCGAGUUCCCUGGAACGGGACGCCACAGAGGGUGAGAGCCCCGUAUGGUCGGACGCCAAGCCUGUGUAAAGCACCUUCGACGAGUCGAGUAGUUUGGGAAUGCUGCUCUAAAUGGGAGGUAAAUCUCUUCUAAAGCUAAAUACCGGCCAGAGACCGAUAGCGCACAAGUAGAGUGAUCGAAAGAUGAAAAGCACCUUGAAAAGGGGGUUAAACAGUACGUGAAAUUGUUGAAAGGGAAGCGCUUGUGACCAGACUUGCGCCGGGCGGCUCAUCAGGGGUUCUCCCCUGUGCACUCCGCCCGGCUCAGGCCAGCAUCGGUUCUCGUGGGGGGAUAAGACCGGUGGGAACGUGGCACCCUCCGGGGUGUGUUAUAGCCCGCCGGACGAUACCCUCGUGGGGACCGAGGUUCGCGCUCCGCAAGGAUGCUGGCGUAAUGGUCAUCAGCGACCCGUCUUGAAACACGGACCAAGGAGUCGUCCAUUAGAGCGAGCGUUUGGGUGUCAAACCCGCACGCGUAAUGAAAGUGAACGCAGGUGAGAGCUUCGGCGCAUCAUCGACCGAUCCUGAUGUUCUCGGAAGGAUUUGAGUAAGAGUUUUAACGGACGGACCCGAAAGACAGUGAACUAUGCUUGUAUAGGGUGAAGCCAGAGGAAACUCUGGUGGAGGCUCGCAGCGGUUCUGACGUGCAAAUCGAUCGUCAAAUAUGAGCAUGGGGCGAAAGACUAAUCGAACGCUAGCGCC
rnacentral:rRNA from 1 species